GUGUGUGGGUGAGGGGAUGUUAGGGCAGGGGUCUGGCAAUCGGUGGCUAUAGAGUCUGACCCGGGUUGGAGGUGUGUGUGGGUGAGGGGAUGUUAGGGCAGGGGUCUGGCAAUCGGUGGCUAUAGAGUCUGACCCGGGUUGGAGGUGUGUGUGGGUGAGGGGAUGUUAGGGCAGGGGUCUGGCAAUCGGUGGCUAUAGAGUCUGACCCGGGUUGGAGGUGUGCGUGGGUGAGGGGAUGUUAGGGCAGGGGUCUGGCAAUCGGUGGCUAUAGAGUCUGACCCGGGUUGGAGGUGUGUGUGUGUGUGAGGGGAUGUUAGGGCAGGGGUCUGGCAAUCGGUGGCUAUAGAGUCUGACCCGGGUUGGAGGUGUGUGUGGGUGAGGGGAUGUUAGGGCAGGGGUCUGGCAAUCGGUGGCUAUAGAGUCUGACCCGGGUUGGAGGUGUGUGUGGGUGAGGGGAUGUUAGGGCAGGGGUCUGGCAAUCGGUGGCUAUAGAGUCUGACCCGGGUUGGAGGUGUGUGUGGGUGAGGGGAUGUUAGGGCAGGGGUCUGGCAAUCGGUGGCUAUAGAGUCUGACCCGGGUUGGAGGUGUGUGUGGGUGAGGGGAUGUUAGGGCAGGGGUCUGGCAAUCGGUGGCUAUAGAGUCUGACCCGGGUUGGAGGUGUGUGUGGGUGAGGGGAUGUUAGGGCAGGGGUCUGGCAAUCGGUGGCUAUAGAGUCUGACCCGGGUUGGAGG